rnacentral:lncRNA from 1 species
UUUUUUUUUUUUUUUUUUGGCUAUUGUUAGAAUAUAUCUUUUUCAUCUUUUUCAUCUAUGUUGUUUUUCAAAUGUGUCAGCAAUAUAUCUAGGAGUGGGUUUUUUGGUUUUACUUUGUUUUUGCUUAUCCUGUAUGGUAAAUACUAUUGUUGAUAUAUCUGUACAUUUAUUAUCUGCAUAUUUUAUAAUUUUAUAUUUUUAUAUUAAAAUAUAUCUGUAUAUUUUAUCAUUUCUGGAAAAUUCUAAGCUAUAAUCUCUUGGAAUACUCCAUCUCCCAUAUUCUUUCUUGAAAUUGUCUUAGAGGUAUGUUAGCUCUUAAAUUCUUCUUCCUAUUUUCUAUUUUAACCUUUUUGUGCUUUAUUAUUGGAAAUUGUCUUAUAUCCAUCUUCCUUUCUAUUUUACAUCUCUUAUCCAUAUUUUUCUGUAGCUAAUCUGUUCACUCAGAAACAGAUUUUUUUAAAACUUCUUUUUUUCUUAAAGAUUUUACAUAUUUAUUAGAGAGAGAGAGAGAGAGAGAGAGAAGAGCAAGGGGAGCAGCAGAGGGGGAGGGAGAAACAAGUUCCCCACUGAGCAAAGAGCCCAAUACGCUCCAUCCCAGGACUGCAGGAUCAUGACCUGAGCCAAAGGCAAAUGCUUAACCAACUGAGCCACCCAGUUGCCCCUAAAACUUCUCUUAUUCUACUUUUCAUUUCUAAAAGUUUUAUUUACUUUCAAGUUUGCCUAAUCAUUUUAUUUCUUGUUUAUUGAUAAUUUAAAAAUACCAUUCUAUAUUUUAGUUUUUGUAUUCUUUAUCUGAUCUUCUAAUAUAUGAAAUUUUUGGAGGUCUAAAUUUGUUAUCAUUUUGCUGACUUUUACUCGUGGUAACUUGUUUCCUUGUGUGUUUGGUAUUGUGGGGAGUUCACAUAAUUUAUUAAAUUCAAUAUAUAGAAUCAUGAAGGUCUAAAUGGGAUUACUUUCCUUCAAAGAAGAUUUAUGCUUGCUCCUAAUAAUAAGCAGUUGUGAUAUAAAUAUGGAACAAUUUCAGCCCUGUUCAUGAGGUGUUUUUUAUUAUCUUCCUGUUAAUUAUCUGAAUCUUGAAUUCUGCUUUUUUACUUCAAGGCAGGAUCUACAUUCUGCCUCGCAAUAUAAGUGUUUGUAUUGGCAUCUAACUCCAGUGAAACCUCCACUUCAGAAUUUACUAACCCCUCACAAUUCUGUUUUCACAUCACUGUCUUUAUUUUGGCUCUUGGAAAUUUCCUUUACUUUAUUGAAUGGCCAGCAAAGCUUUAAAAAAUAUAUACUUGUUGUAUUUUAUCCAGGAUGUCAUUAUACAGUAGUAGGAAAGCCCUUCAGAGUGUGUAAUCCAACAAUUUGCUGGAAACAGACCUCUCAAUAUUAAUGUUUUCAGAAGAAUUUCUGAAGGCAUUAUGUUCCAAAAAUUUUUUAUCUUGAUUGUGAAUGUAUUAAGUAUAUCAAUUAAUAAGGGGAUGAAUGUAUUAAGUAUAUCAAUUAAUAAGGGGAGAAGUAGCAUUUUUCUAUGCUUAUAUUUUUUCUAUUUAUUUCCUUAUGUCCAUCUUGUUUAUGCUUUUCAAUAUGUCUUGAAUAUUUCUUAUCAAGUUCUUAACUAGACAUCCUUUAGAUUUUUUUCAUGGUAGUUGUCAUCAUAAUGUUUUUAUCUUAUAUAGUAAAACUUUCAACUUUUGCAUAUUAUGUAACCAACUACUUACUAAAGAUUUUCACAUUUCUAAAAGUCUUCAGUUGAUUCUCUUAGAUUAUCUACAUAUUCAAUUGUUUUAUCUGCAAAAUAAUAAUACUUUUGCCUCUUUCUUAGUAUUUUCAAUUUUGUAAUUUUGUCUUUUGCAUUGGCUAUGACUACCACAAACCUACAUAUUCUUGCACUAAAACUUUCCAAGAUACGAGAUAUCUAUG